rnacentral:misc_RNA from 1 species
GAUGAAGAACGUAGCGAAAUGCGAUAAGUAAUGUGAAUUGCAGAAUUCAGUGAAUCAUCGAAUCUUUGAACGCACCUUGCGCCUUUUGGUAUUCCGAAAGGCACACCUGUUUGAGCGUCAUGAAUACCUCAAUCUCCAUCUUUUCUUCGGAUUGAUGGGUGACUUGGAUGUUGAGCCCUGCUGGUAUGCUAUAUCAGCUGGCUUUAAACUUAUUAGCCGGCUCUGUACUGGAUCGGUUUGACUCGACGUGAUAAUAUUAUCGUUGAGGAUGCAUGUCUCAUGCAGCCGGAAAGUAUCAAAGCAGCUUCUAGCUUGCCUUUAGUGCACUUUUACAUUUUAGACCUCAGAUCAGGUGGGACUACCCGCUGAACUUAAGCAUACAAUAAGCGGAGGA